rnacentral:rRNA from 1 species
CACGGGGGGAGCAAGCGUUGUUCGGAAUCACUGGGCGUAAAGGGCGUGUAGGCGGUCAAGUAAGUGGAAUGUGAAAGCCCCCGGCUUACCCGGGGAUCUGCAUCCCAAACUGCUUGGCUUGAGUACGGGAGAGGAUAGGGGAAUUCCUGGUGUAGCGGUGAAAUGCGUAGAGAUCGGAAAGAACACCAAUGGCGAAAGCACUCUGCUGGGCCGACACUGACACUGAGAGACGAAAGCUAGGGGAGCAAAUGGG